rnacentral:rRNA from 1 species
GCCCAAGAGACUGGGAUAACACCUGGAAACAGAUGCUAAUACCGGAUAACAACACUAGACGCAUGUCUAGAGUUUAAAAGAUGGUUCUGCUAUCACUCUUGGAUGGACCUGCGGUGCAUUAGCUAGUUGGUAAGGUAACGGCUUACCAAGGCAAUGAUGCAUAGCCGAGUUGAGAGACUGAUCGGCCACAUUGGGACUGAGACACGGCCCAA